UCACUUUGUAGACCAGGCUGGCCUUAGA
rnacentral:piRNA from 1 species